CACCAUACAUCAUUAAAUAAAGGAUUUAAUACAUAAAACAUGGAAAACAGGCGUAGCUUCAAGUAAAUCACACUCCGACGCAGCCAUGGCAGGCGAUCCUCCUCUGACAGCCCGGGUCGCGCCAAUCUUAAUGUCACAAUUGACACCGACCUUAGAGCAGCGUUCGAGCAAACCACAUAAUCGGUUAUCAGUUCGGCCUCCUGAUGAAAAACCUUCGCCCACGAAGGUCAGCAAGUAGCACCACAGCACUUCAAUCUUCGCGCACCUCCCCAAUCGGUUAAAGGGAAUCGUGACGUAGCCUACUGGUACUCAGCGACUCCGUUGACUGGGCUACAAAUAUCAAAACAUAAGCUAAUUGGCAUCUGUUACAGUGCCAAGUCAUAUGCUGAUGGAUGAGACCCCUUUAGGCCACAUCAGUAUCUUUUUUUUUUUUUAGUAAGGCUCUUUAUGCACUUUAGUAAUUAUUGUAGUUUUUUUUUUUUUUUAAUGAAGUUAUCACGGUAUCAUUAAUUUGAUCAUCAGCUCUCAAGCAAUAAACAGUCGUCCGCUCAUAGUAUAUCUAACCGUGUACUAUCUCUUUUUAUUUUAUUUUAGGAGAAUUAAAGAAUUAUCAUGUAGUCAAGAGUGACCCUUUACAGCAAAUGUCAUAUAGACACAUAUCAGUUCUUAAAUGAAACAUGAUGUAGACAAUAUUCAGCUCUCUAAGCAAGUAUCAACUCCUGAAGAAAAGCAUCAGGUAGACAAAUUUAAAUUCUUAAGGCAAAUAUCUUGUAGUCAACUAACUGUCAGCUCGUUAAGCAAACAUCUUGUAGGCAACAAUCAGCUCUUGAAUCAAAUCUCAACUUCAAAAGGAAAGCAUCAUGUAGACAAAUAAAAUAUUCGCUCUUUAAAUAUUUUGUAGGCAACUCUCAGCUCUUAAAGCAAAUAACAACUUCUAACUGAAAACUGUAGACUACUUUCAGCCUUUUUUUUUUAUCUUAUGGAUAAUUAAUAAGCUCUUAAAGCAACCAUCCUAUAAUAAUUGUCAGCUCUUAAAGCUAACACCAAAUAUUAACUCCUGAAUUAAAACAUAAUGUAAAACAAAUAUUAGCUCUUUAAAACAAUCAGCAUGUUGAGUCUACAUUGUAGAUAACUGUCAGUUCUUAAAGCAAACAUCUUCUCUAUUGAGAUUCUAAUUGUCAGCUCUCGAAGGGAUAACAGUUACUGAAGGAAAACAUCAUGCAGAUGUCGUAGAUAAACUAUCAGCUCUUAGCACACACAUCUCAACUAGACUUUUAUUUAUUUGUUCAGCUGUUUGGGUAACUUUAAAUCAUGGGCUCUCUAUAAGCAACUUUAAUUUAUGGGCUCUGUAAGCUAAUUGGUAUUAUAGAGCUCUUUAACAGAUUUGUAACAUGACCUCUAAGAAAAUGUAUAAAAUGGGUUUUUUUUAAGCAUAUUUGUAAUAUUAGCUCUUUAAGAAUUUGUAUUAUAAGCUCUUUAAGCUGAUACGUUUUAUGGACUCUUUAAGCAUAUUCGUAACAUGGGCUCUUUAAGCAGAUUUGUAACACAUGGGCUCUCUAAGCAUUUGCAUAAUAGGCUCUUUAAGCUUACUUGUAUAAUGGGCUCUCUAAGCAUUUGUAUCAUAGGCUCUUUAAGCUGAUACGUUACACGGGCUCUUUAAGCUUACUUGUAUAAUGGGCUCUCUAAGCAAUAGUAUCAUAGGCUCUUUAAGCUUACUUGUAUAAUGGGCUCUCUAAGCAUUAGUAUCAUAGGCUCUUUAAGCUGAUACGUUACACGGGCUCUUUAAGCUUACUUGUAUAAUGGGCUCUCUAAGCAAUAGUAUCAUAGGCUCUUUAAGCUUACUUGUAUAUUGGGCUAUUUAAGAAUUUUUGUAACAUAGGCUCUUUAAGCAUUCGUAUCAUGGGCUGGCUAGGCUGAUACAACUCACAGGCUCGCUAAGCAUUCGUAUCAUCGGCUCGUUAAGCUGAUACGUCUACAGGCUCGCUAAGCAUUCGUAUCAUCGGCUCGUUAAGCUGAUACGUCUCACAGGCUCGCUAAGCAUUCGUAUCAUCGGCUCGUUAAGCUGAUACGUCUCACAGGCUCGCUAAGCAUUCGUAUCAUCGGCUCGUUAAGCUGAUACGUCUCAUAGGCUCGCUAAGCAUUCGUAUCAUGGCUCGUUAAGCUGAUACGUCUCACAGGCUCGCUAAGCAUUCGUAUCAUGGCUCGUUAAGCUGAUACGUCUCACAGGCUCGCUAAGCAUUCGUAUCAUGGCUCGUUAAGCUGAUACGUUUCACAGGCUCGCUAAGCAUUCGUAUCAUGGGCUCGCUAAGCUGAUACGUCUCAUAGGCUCGCUAAGCAUUCGUAUCAUGGCUCGCCAAGCUGAUACGUCUCAUAGGCUUGCUAAGCCUGCUUUUUUUGUGUAUUUAUAUAUUUGUUUUUUAUUUUUUUGUUAAAUAUUUUAUUUUUUGUAUAGGUUGGUUUUUGUUGUUGUAUAGGUUCAAACAUUUGUAUCGGUGGCUCUUUGAGCAUAUUGAGGGGUCUUAGUCCCGCUAUCACACAGGCUGCCUCAGUCUCGCAACGCCGCUCAGGUACGCAGUCUCGCACCGCCGCUCAGGUGCGCAGACUCGCACCAUCGGUCGGCGCGCAGACUCGCACCAUCGGUCGGCGCCCAGACUCGCACCGCCGCUCAGGCAGGCAGACCUUUGCCAGUACAUUCUGCAACCAUAACUUAGGGCAAUAACUGUGUCAUAACAAAGCAUAUUUGGAUUCAACUUUUGAAAUUAUAGUUCAACUAUCUUUGGCUCACUCAAUAUUUUCUAAUAAUUUAUCAACAUAUUAUUCGAUCAGAAUAGAUUUAAUGUCUUCCGGUGAAGACCUAUGCCCAGCAGUGGUACAUUGCACAGGCGGGUAAUAAAAUAAUGAUGUUGGCUUGAAUUACAUCAACAUGCAUCAAGAUACACACACACAAGACAUGUCGCAUACUCUAUUGAGAUCCUUCAUUAAGUAUUGACACUAUCCCUCGUAUAAAAGAGUUUUGAUAGAAUAAAUAAUGUGAAUAAAACAUGUGGACAAGUUAUUAGCUUAGGGUGUAGGUAUACCAAUACUGUGAGCUUUAGUAAAGCCAUCUUUCAAUGUUAUUUCUUCACAUAACGAUAUACCUAAGGUUUACCACCUUCAUGACAAUAUAGCAAUAAUUUAUUAUAUUUUAUCUUUUAUAACACACAUGUAAUGUCCUUGUCAGAUUUUCAAUAAAAUGGGAUAUAGUAUUAUUAUGAUGUGCUUGCAUGAAACAGCCAAAUACUUCAACUUGGUGAAACAAAGAACUUGUGUUGAGAAUACUUAACUUCUCUCAUAGUGGUACAUGCAGCAUCCAACUUGGCAACUUUUGACAUACUACCUGCGGUCAUCUCUCACCACAGAUUUCUUUCGCUGCAAAGAAUCCAUUGCACCAUCCAGCCUGGUGAGGACUCCCCUCAAGCAGCUCCAGUGGCCUUUUUGAAGACAUUUGAACAUUCUAACAACACACAACAUGCAACAUUUAACAAACAACAAAACCAUGUGAUCUGUUUCUAUCACAUCUUAUUCCACAUUAUUAUUUGUCAAUUAGAUAUAAGAUUAUUGCCUCAAUUCAAUUCAAGUAGUUUUGACCAAGUUUUCAUGACUAAACAAGACUUAACUGGUAGGUCUCUUAAAAUGACACAAUUUUCAAUCACCAACAUAAUAUGAAUAGUAAAUAAUUUAAAUGAACUCUUUUACAAGUAGUUAUCAUCAGUCAUCACCAUAUCAAUUGUCCCUAUUUUAUUUUAUUUAUUAAUUCACUGAACUGACUGCCUGUUAUAGUACAGUCAACAUUAAAAGUAGGCACUGCUCCUUAUUAACGGCACAUGUCACUUCAUCCUUUCCAUUUGGACAUCACAGGCAUUUAGUGGCUAUGCUGACCUGUUCUAUUUUAUUUAAAACAUAUUAACACAUACUAAUUAUUUAGUGUAGGUGCAUGACAAUUUGAAUAUGUUAGGAACAUGCCUCAAUCGUCGCUUUGAGUAUAAUUUGGUGUAAGUCAAUUAUAUAUCUGACCACUCACUUGUUAUUAUUUUUAUUAUUUUAACCAUGCUAUAACUACAAAUGAUAUGUGAAUAUCGCUCACAUAACACAACAAUUUAAUUUGGCCUUACCUUGUUCAAUUUUGUAUUGCUGAUAAUAUUUCUUAUACCACCAAACCUUUCACACAGGACAGUAUUACUUACUCAAUUGUGUGCAAUCAUUCUGCAAGUGCAAGGCUUCUGUGAGUAUGCAGACAUAAAGCUUGUUCUGGUAAACUAUACCUCCAGCAUAAAACACAUUUAUUCUGUGAAAAUAUAAAUGAAGCAACAACUUUAUCUGAAAUGACAAUUAUUACCAUUCCGUAAUGUGGUCAUGCUACGCUUCACACAACAUUCUCAAAGGGAUCAUUUUAACAUAGCCUUAUAACACUAUGUCAUACAACGACCCAAGAAAGCAACUUGGUCGAUCUUGCAUAAAUAGGCAUAAUAAUAAUAACACACCUUAGGCGUAGGGAUGUGACGACCCCAUCGCCCGCUGGUUUUACCAGUGCAAUCAGUCAACGCAGGGCAGCUUGUGGCGAGCUGUUGGGGAUUAGCGACCUCACGUACCCGAGUGCUCCUGGGGAGUUCUGUUACCCGCAAGGAGGGUGGGUGGGACAGGAUUCUCUGCCUCUGGCUUGCCUUAGCCGGCCGGCCAGAGUGGAGUCGUUAGAGCUAUAAGCUCCAGGGGUGGAAGU